UAUCUCUGUAGAGUCUGCAUAUCAAUAAGCGGAGGAAAAGAAACUAACUAGGAUUCCCUUAGUAACGGCGAGUGAAGCGGGAAGAGCUCAAAUUUGAAAUCUUCAAGGUUCUACCUUGACGAAUUGUAGUUUAAAGAAGUGUUUUCUGUUAGAUGAGUAGCAAAAGUUCCUUGGAAUGGGACAUCAUAGAGGGUGAGAAUCCCGUAUUUGGUCAUUCAUUCUAGCUUUGUGAUACACUUUCAAAGAGUCGGAUUGUUUGGGAAUGCAGUCCAAAAUGGGUGGUAAAUUUCAUCUAAAGCUAAAUAUUGGCGAGAGACCGAUAGCGAACAAGUACCGUGAGGGAAAGAUGAAAAGAACUUUGAAAAGAGAGUUAAACAGUACGUGAAAUUGUCAAAAGGGAAGCGUUUGACACCAGUGUUGUUUUUCCGAAAAUCAAUAACGAAUGGCUUGAUUCUGUGUUGUAUUGACCUUAUCAGCUUUCUUCACUUUUUUCGAGUCUUUCUUAAUGCACUUUUCGGUUAACAAGUCAACAUCAAUUUCUUUUGUUGUAAAAGAGUAUUCGGAAGGUGGCUUUCUUUUCGGAGAAAGUGUUUAUAGCCCUAUACUUCUACAAUCGGAGAGAUUGAGGUCUGCAGCGUAGAUCCUUCGGGGUUAGAUACAUUUGUGCUAAGUUGUAGCUUUUCAUAGACAACUUGUUGACUAUGUUUAGUCAUGCGGCUUACUCGCUUAUGCUAUUUUACCUACGCUUAGGAUGUUGAAGAUGUAGCACAUCAU
rnacentral:rRNA from 1 species